rnacentral:rRNA from 1 species
UGAGGAAUAUUGGGCAAUGCCCGAAAGGGUGACCCAGCAACGCCGCGUGGAGGAUGAAGGUCGUAAGAUUGUAAACUCCUGUUAGAGGGGAAGAAUAACUAAGUUUGGAGCUUAGUAUGACUGUACCCUCAGAGAAAGCCCCGGCUAACUACGUGCCAGCAGCCGCGGUAAUACGUAGGGGGCAAGCGUUAUCCGGAUUUACUGGGUUUAAAGGGUGCGUAGGUGGGCUUAUAAGUCAGUGGUGAAAUCUCCGAGCUUAACUUGGAAACUGCCGUUGAUACUAUAGGUCUUGAAUUAUCUGGAGGUAAGCGGAAUAUGUCAUGUAGCGGUGAAAUGCUUAGAUAUGACAUAGAACACCAAUUGCGAAGGCAGCUUACUACAUAUAAAUUGACGCUGAGGCACGAAAGCGUGGGGAUCAAACA